AUCUAGAAGAAUAAAUCUGUGCCAGUUACCAAUUUAUUGCCUCUUAGCUCCACAUUCACCCUUCAGUAUAUGCUCUGUGACAGUGGACACUUGAAUCUCCUUCACAGUGAGCAUGACGUUAAGCUUUCUCAGUAGAGGGCGCUGGAGGGCAGGCAGGAAGGAAAGGACUACCCUGCUGUUUGCGCUGCUGCCUGGUGCAGGAGUGGCGUGGUGUGAGGAUAUCUGAGGGAGUUCUGCCCCAACCAUGGGUCACCUCAGUGACCUUGCAGCCUCAGCAGGGAUAACCUUCUCCCAGCUCUGUGGACUUGAAACGACACACCUUGAAGGAUUCCUGCUUGCAUUCGUGCCCCAAAGGCAUUCUGCCAAUACCCUCUUCCCUCAGGCCCCUAGCAGAUAACCUGACUCAGAGGGUUUUCACUGAGCGGCCAGCCCCUCUGCAGGCCUACACUACCUGUGCACGUCUAUGCUCUGGGUUGCCUCCUGCUUGCCCAGGGACUGCAGACCGGCUUCUGGCCUGGGCAAAGAACAAAAUUCUCUGCUGUCAGUGAACUGAGUUCUCCAAAAAGCUCUGAACCCCAGCCUUUGUGAGGGCGGCCCUUUCCAAGUUUAUCUUUUCUUGGGUACUCUUCAUUAGCUCAAGGGUAUCAUACAGAAUUUCCUUAUAUUCUAUAGAUACUUGUUUAUCAGAAUACAAUAAUUUCUCAUACUAAACUUCCACUGUGUAAAGCGAUAGCAAUACUGAUGUCUUAGCAAGAAAUGCAGCUGCUUUUCCACUUACAGAAGAUUUGAGAGGAAUUUAUAGAAUGAGGCAGGACUAAGGGAACCAGUUUCUUUCUCCACAACUUUUUUCCUAAUUUUGAUUUUAGGCUUUUAAAAUCAGUUGGUGGCUCCUUUCACUUCUCAAAGGAAAGGAACACAUUUUUGUUUCAUUACCUAGACUGUCAGAUCCAAGCCAAGAGAAAUUCUAACCCAUAGGUAGCACGAGACUAGUGAUGAAGCCACAGAAAUCUGAGUACGGUCCCCACUGCAAAGGUCAGUCGUGAUUUCAGCAUGUCAGAUCUUAGUUCCCUGACCAGGGAUCGAAGGCGUGCCCCCUGCAGUGGAAGCGCGGAGUCUUAACCACUGGACCGCCAGGGAAGUCCCUGGUUUCUGCUUUAUAUGCCCCAAAGAACCUCAGUUAAGCCCUCCCUCCUCAUUUCAACAGACUCUUGGGAGCUGACCCAAACUUGCUAAUCUUCAAGUCUGAAAACCAGUUGAUGGUUUUCAUCAUCAUAAAAGGAUCCCCUUGGAGCAAAGGAAAAAAAUGUUUGGUUUCGACAGUGCCUCUGGGAGAAACUCAAGACGCGUUGACUGUGGACCCUCCCUGCAUUCUUUGGGCUCGAGCAGCCACCGCAAGAUGCAAAGCAGCAUGAGAAAAGGCUGAGUCAGACAACAUGUAGCAACAAGCCCAGGAACUUCUCCAGGGGCCCAGGAAGUUGGAAGCCUCCCAGUUACGUCGUAGGACAUUGUCCUUUCUUGGAACUUUGAAGGAUUCUUGAGUGUCAGCAAGGCCAUCCCACUCCCACCUGACUUCUCACAGGACGUGGUAUCUCUGAAAGGAUCAUAUCCACAGGGACGAUUAUUGACUGAACGGACAUUCCUGGCGAUGUAAUGCGUGUCCUGCAAUCCUGACCAACAACUUGCUCGUGGUCGCUGUGCCCAUGAUUUUGGCUGAGAAUGCUAUUCGGAGGGAAAAGGUGGCUUCUACUACGGAUGAUUUUUUUAAUAAUUUUUUUUAAUAGUAGAGAAAGAAUGCAAAAUAGGAAAGGGAUCAAGAAUAGGCUUAUUAUCUAGUUAAAGUUAACGAUGAAAAUUAGGUUAGUGAUUUCUUCUCAUCAGAGCACAGAGGUCAAAAGCCCUGUGAUAAAUAUCACAUCCGUCUGAGAAUUAGAUUUCACAGUCCUACUCGGUACCUCACUCAUCUCACAUAACAGAACAACAUUUCAAUGGAGCAAAAGAAGGGGUAACUAUCCUCAGAGCAUCAUAGCUUUCAGGUGCUUGUGGUGCCUCGCAGUAUAUCACCUGCUCUUCUCUGGGGGGUCACUUACUUUGACAUGUAUAAAUUAGAAAAGUGAUGAAAAGGACUGAAUGUGUAAAACGUUCCCAGUCAGAUCCUUAAGGAUAAUUUAGAAGAGUGUUGGGAAUUGGGAGCCCCAGAAUCCCCUGAGGAACUUCACUAAGAACUGCUGCAGACAUUUGCUGGCUAGCUUCAACCUGCUCUGACCUCAGGGAAACCACUCCGUAUCAGCAAGACACACCGACUGGAGGUGAUCUCAGGCUCCUGUGUUGGCCUAAGUCUGAUGAAGAGUCAGUUGGAGGUACUGUUUUUCUUUACUUCAAAAUGACCAUGCAGUGUGGCUACUGAAUGCUGUCCCUGGUUCUACUGAUUCCCUGGGAGAUGGAUGUAAGAGAGAAGCUUUUGAAAACAUUCCUGGGAAACCAAGGUGCCGUCUUAUAAUGCAGUCUGACGGUGUAAAACCUCCGAAGAAUGAAGCAAUGGCUUUUGCUGAUGGCUCAUGAGAAAUCUGUGGGUGGCCUAGUGAUUCUAAGUUCAUCAAAUACAUCUGUAUUGGGGGUCAAAACUACGUUUUUGAAGUUCUUAACCAGAAAAUUUUCAUUAAUUAAAAUGUACUAAGAAAAACGAGCAUUUGAUACCCUCCUAAGAACUUCACUCUCCCAGUUCUCUAGGACUGGCUGCUAUAGUACUUGUAGCCCAAAUAGCACAGUUGGCCACCCCCCCCCCCCCGAGGAUUCAACACAUGUAAAAACAACAACAGAACUAAAGCACAGCCUGGGAUUCACCACCUGCUUAAAGUAUUGGGUUGUUGCCAUCUCCGGCAGCUGACAACAUAGCCUGGUCGCUGGCCCAUCAUCUCCUUCCAUCUUCCACUCUCUAUAUUUUAAUAAUAUUUACAUCUUGGGCUCUCGAGUACCCUCUCAGAUGUUAUUAUUGAAGCAGAAUAGUGCAAAAUCAGUCUUCAGAGGUUAAGGAGGGAGUUUUCAGUGAAAAUGUAGUUGGUAAGUUUUGACAUUUUAGGAAAAGAAACUUUUUUGAAAAGCAUCAUUAAAACAGCCUGCUAAAAUAUCUCACCAAAGAAGUUGUAUUUAGCUCAAAUCUCGUAUAGGAGGACAGCAUGAAUUCAGUUUUGAAUUGACUUGGGUUCCGGCCUCCUUAUCAACAGGUUGGAGAGUUGUCCUUGUUAGUAAAAUUUAGCUUUCUCUCCACCCCAGUGAUAAUGAUAGGAAGCACUAGGAAAGGAUACGCUCGCCAUGCUGCAUAAAGCCUUCUUCCUGGGAAGGCGUGUGUGCUCCCGACUGCUGUGGGAGCACAGUGAUGAAGACUGGCAGCAGUGGCAGCCGGGGCUCCCCCAUACUCAGCUUAAGACAAGCACUGAAGGUCUACUCACUGUUGAGAGUUUAAGAAAAAAGUCUCCACACUCAAUGUGACUGUCUUUGGAAUUCUUCGUUUCAUUAAGGUUCUCACAAAAUACAAAGCUCAAAUGUAACCGUCUACGUCCACCACAAAACAGAAUCAAGCUUUAUGUUGCAGACCCUUAAGUACGCGUACCUGUCGUCAGGAUACACUGCCCACAAGCAGGGAAGGCCACUGUGGGUACAUUCCUCAGGGUGACACGCACUUAUCCAUGUUGCCUCAAGCCUGUGGAAAACUAAACAGACACCCUCCGAUCAGUUCGCACAGUUUCAUUAAUUUUCUUUCUACCACGAAGUGACAACAGAAAGGGUCACGUCACUGGCGAGGCCUGGCGGCAGAGCCAGGGCCCCUGCCUUGGGCACGAAAUCCGAGGGAAGGCUCUCCAGCAGACACUUGACCUGCUCCUGGCCCAGCUUGAUCUUGUCGUCCAGCUCCCGCUGCUCGAUGAGGAGUGUCGACUUCAUUUUCACAAAAUGCUGGUAAUCCUGGAGUUGCUCCUUGGAAAGGUAAUGGGCCAGGAUGUCCAGCACCACGCGCUGCCUCCGGUCCACAUUCUCCUUGAGCUCCCGGGCGUCCUCGUGCUGCGCAGCCAGGACCUUCCUCUUCUCGUUGAGAGAGCUCUGCCAGGGCGAAACAAGCAGAUCAGCAAAGGGCCAGCAGAACGGGGAAAAGAACCGAACUGCCCGCAGAGAGACCUUUUUCAGGAUGGUGCAGUGUCUAAGUUUCUAUUUUGAUUGUCGAUCUAAAGUAAGGAGACUCAGUCAUUUGAAAAUCAGUUCAUUACCCUUACGUUGCAGAUAUAUGGUUCUCUAGCUUAUAAAGUCAUGUGGCGGCUUUAAUUUGAGAGAUUAUGUUAAAAUUGGCUGGGGUACUGGCUUUACUUUAAGGCUUCUAGACUUAGAAGAACAAUCAGGAUUCCAUUUAUAUGAGGUCCUUAGAAUAGUCUACAGUCAUAGAGACACGAAGCAGAAUGGUGGUUGCUAGGCUCUGGGCGAGGGGAGAAGGGAGGGGGAGUUGCUGUUUCAGUGGGUAUAGAGUUUCAGUUUCGCAAGAUGAGAAAGUUCUGGAGAUCUGUUACACAACAAUGUUAAUAUAGUUAAUACUACUGAACUGUACAGCUAAAAAUGGUUACGAUGGCAACUCUUAUAUGUAGUUUACCACAGUUAAACAACUGAAGGGAAAAAAAGCCAGUCAUCAAGGUACCUUGAGUGUUUACAAGUAUUUCCAUUUUAUAGUGGUUCUCAAAGUGGGUACCAGCAGCAUCUCCCGGGGAUUUGUUAGAAAUGCAAAAUUUCAGGCCCCCUUCCACCUACUGAAUCAAAAGUUCUGGAGGUGUGGGGCUUAGGGGUCUGUGGUUGAAGGAGCCUUUCGGGCGAUUCUUUGCAGUUAAAGUUUGAGAACCUCUGCCCCAAUCCAUAAUCAACAAUGGGAACAUCAUAUUUACCAUCUCCGAAAAAAUCAGUUUCCAUUUUUCCGGCCUCUGAAUCUAACAUGAGAGAAAUUCUAUUUGGCAAUGAUGGCAAUUUCAUAUUCUGAGAGUUUCUCAUACAGACCCAAUGGGAAGACAGCGUAUUAUCUUCAGACCUUAUAGAAGUCUGUAAUGUGGCCUUUUACUCAACACGCUGACAUAUAAUGUCAUUAAAAUUUUUAAAAAUUUUACAUUUAACCAGACUCUUCAGGCUAAAGUGAAUGAGAAACUUUAAAGUGGAAAUUAAUCAAGAAAUAAGAAUAUUUAAAUAGAUAUCUCAACACAGAUUAGCUUAGGUAGGGUUAUGAAAGGCUCAUGUGUCUCUGCCCUAAACUCCCCUUGAACUGGCCUGUCAGGUCUUACCUAAUAACGCCUAGAGGAAAAGUGCAAAGUUAAUAGGUUAAUCUUACAAAUAUCUCCAUUUUCAUAGGCUUCCUUCUCCUAAUCAGAAAAACACACCUAAAAAAGAAACCCUUAGGGACUGAAUUUGCAAUGAAGACAUGCUUCAAAAUACUGUAGGGAAGUAAGUUAAAAAGUGAGAACCUCUUCCUCACCUUUAAAAAAUUAUGAAAUAUUUUAAACAUCAGUAUUGUACAGAGAAUGGUAUAAGAUCUGUGUGCCCAUCAUCAACAGUGCCAAAUCUUAGCUUGAACAUGUUUCAUAUUUGCUUCAGUUUAAAAACAAAAUACUCAGUUGAAGCGUUAUAUAUAGUUCUCCCGAUGCCCCUCCUCCCCUCAUUGGUAACUAUAAUCCUGAAUCUGGCAUUUACUGAACCAUUUAUUCUUCCUUUCCUUAUUCCUAUUUACACUUUUAUUUAACAAAGACUAAUAAUCAUAAAAACGAAUACAGAUGUAUCUUGCAGGUGAGCAAGCACUUAUAUGUACUUGAGAGCGUGUACGUGCAUUUAAGUGCUGAGUGGUUCCAGAACUGGAUUCAACUUAUCUUCCCGUAAGCACUGCUCCAGUAUUGCUUAGCUCAGAUACCUGUGGCAUCCACCCAAGCGACCGAACAGGAGACUUGGAAUUACCUUCUGUUCUAUCCUUCCCCUCAUCUAACACGCCCUGCUAAUUCAAACUCAUUCUCUAAGUCACUCCCUAUUCUCUAUCUCCAUGACAAUGGCCCAAAUUAACAGCCUAAACCCAUCUGGCUAGACCAUUACAAUAAGCCUCCCAACUGUAACAUCAUUCUCACCCCUCCCCAGGCUGAUUAUGUCACGAAAUUAGUUCAUGGCUCUCCAGGCCUACAGGCUAAAGUCUAAAGUACGACCCUUAGGUCUUUGUGAUUAUUUUCUGCACUGGAUACUGUUUACCCCUUCAGAUCCACCCUCCUCUGCCCUGCUCUAUGUCUAGGGAACUGCACCCUGCUGGCUGCUGGUUUUGGCCAGUGGCAGUCAUGGGCAGGAGGCUGGAAGCUGGGAGGGAGAAGAAAUUGAGGCCUUUAUCCCUGGCUCCCUCCUUGCCAGGGGGUGGUGGCUACAACUUUUCACCCAGGCCUCAGUGCCGCAGGUCAGCUACAGCUAGAGUUCUGAUAAGGGCCCCUUCCUCCUGCUGCUCCAGGUCCAGAGGUGGUGAUGGCUUCCCCACUGAUGCUAGCCCUGGGGGGACAGUGGCUUCAUUAUCCCUUGUUGGUCUCCCUUAAAAACAAGUAAAUCAAGGAAGCACUCUGCUCUAGACAUACCAACCACAUGUAAGCCAAUUCUUAAACACGCCAUGGUGUCUGGACUUUGUCCAUGACAUUCCUCCUAAAUGGCAAAGCCCUUUCCCUCUCAGCCCACCUGGAAUUAAGAAAGUCCCCUAGACUCCAUUCAAGCGGCACUUGUGUGAAGUCCUUCCUGACCCCACCACACCGCAUGAGGGGUGCUCUCAAGGCUCUGGGUUUAUCGCUGUGCUGCAGCAUACUAAAUACAACUGCCGCUUCUACACUGGUUACGUUGGUUUUCCUCACUAACUGCUGAGUUCCUUGAAGGCGGGCCUGUUUUUAGGCAGCGUUCAGCCCUAGCACGCGGGGCACUUGGCAUCUGACAGGUUCUUGUUAGCUGCUUUCUGGAUGAAAGGAAGGUGGAAAGGACAACACUUUUGAGGCAAACACAGUCAGACGGUUUGUAGGUGAGGAAGUGAAGGCCCAGAACAUUUACACGAGGAGGGCACUCGCCGGGAGAGGGGCUGCAGAAAGUUCCUGGUUGCUGAGUCACAUUCCUAAAUGCUUACCACCUAGACUUCCUUCAGUCCUUUAAAAAUCUAUUUGACAAGAGACACCUUUCCUUUUAAUGCAGUACAUUCGGAGGAAUAACUGGGAAAUCCCUGACAGCACUGAAAGAGAGAGCUGUAGCUAGAAGGAGCCAGAAAGCCAAGGAACCACUUGACGGCUGCAGCGCUCAUCCCCUCGGCACGUAUAUGAAAAAUAGCUACGUUGAUCACCUGACCUCCCUUGGGCGUUAUUGAGCUUGAUGUCCAUCAGCAGGCUCCCCUUGGCUUCCUGGAGGGUCUCAAGCUUGUGGGUGAGGCUUCCAAUCAACUCCGCCUGGAACGAGAGAGGAGACGCAUAGCAAAACUUAGCCAGCUGACUGGUGCCAGUCUUCUUCGCCGAUGGCUGUUCAGCAGUUGGCUGUGAUUUUGGUGUUUCCGUGAGAGGAGCGAACACCCCUGGACCCUGAAGAGGGCUCUGCAAGGUUAGCUGUGGCCGUGCGCCGGGGAGGGGAGCCAUGCCUGAAGUACGACCCAGAACAGGGAGGAAUGGGGACAACGACCCCAUGGACCGAAGAGUGUGAGGGGAAUCCGCACUAUUUUUCUCUACUGAGGAUAGUCCCAGCUAUGCAGAACGGCACGGCCGUGCAGGCUGCCGUGACACCACAAGAACUUGUCCUAUUUCUAGCCAGAGGCCCAGGUCCGGGCUCACCCUCAAGCUGCACGUGUGUGGGACAGACCCAAAGAAGCACGGCAACGGCUUUGAGAACUGAACUGUGACAGAACAACUCACCCAAGUCCCAGGCUCAGCCCUGGAAGGUGCCUGUGUAGAACAGUCACAUAUAAGGCAGUAGAAGCUCUGAAAACUGAAUUGACACUGGAACCAACAGCCAGAGGUGGGACAGAACUUGUAGCCUGAACCUAACUAGGCUGCCUGCUAAAACAAAACAAAAAAUCAACCUUCUUCAGAGGAUUUUCACAGAACCCAAGACUUACACCAUAACACUCAAAAUGUUCAGGUACAAUAUUACCCAGCAUGAAGAGAACCAGUAAAAUGUGAACAGCUCUCAGGGGAAGACAACCAACAGGUGCUAACCCUGAGAUAACCCAAACGGGACGAUAAAAGCCUUUAAAAUAGCUUUUGUAGCUAUGCUCCAUGGUGGAAGUAAACACUCUUGAAAUGGACAGACAGACACUACAAAAAAAUGAAUGGAAAUUUUAGAACUGGAAACUAUAAUAUCUGAAAAUUUAAAAAAAAUCACUGGCAGAAUAGAGGCAGGAAAGUCAGUGAAACUGAAGAUAGAUCAAUAGAAAUUAUCCAAUCUGAAUGAACUGACAGAAAACAUUAAAAAACAUGAACAGGACUUACCUGGUGGCGCAGUGGUUAAGAAUCCACCUGCCAAUGCAGGGGACACGGGUUCGAGCCCUGGUCUAGGAAGAUCCCACAUGCUGCAGAGCAACUAAGCCCGUGCGCCACAACUACUGAGCCCAAGCACCCUAGAGCCCACAUGCCACAACUACUGAAGACUGCGCACCCUAGGGCCUGCGAGCCACAACGACUGAAGCCCGCGUGCCUAGAGCCCGUGCUCCGCAACAAGAGGAGCCACCGCAGUGAGAAGCCCGUGCACCGCAAUGAAGAGUAGCCCCCGCUCGCCGCAACUAGAGAAAGCCCGCGUGCAACGACAAAGACCCAACGCAGCCAAAAUAAAUAAAUAAUCAAAAAUAAAAAAGCCCUAAAAAAAAAUGAGCAAAGUUUCAGAAAUUUGCAGGACAAUAUCAAAAGGUCUAACAUUUGUGUCACUGGAGUCCCAAAAGGAGAGAAAGAGAUUAGCACGUAAAAAAGUAUUUGAAGACAUACUGGCUAAAAACAUCCUGAAUUUAGUGAAAGACGUAAGUUUACAGAAAUCAAGAAGCUUAGUAAACCCCAACAGGAUAAAUCAAAGAAAGUUAGGCCCAUACAUAUCAUAACCAAACUGCUGAAAAUCAAAGAUAAAAAAUUUGAGAGCAGCCAGAGAAAAGCAACACACUGCAUAUAGGAGGAACAAAUAUUCAACGGCUGUGCGUUUCUCAUCAGAAACCAUGGAAGCAAGAAGUGGGACAUUUUUAAACUGCUAAAAGAAAAAGUAUAGUCAACCCAGAAUUCCAUAUCUAGUAAAAAUGCUUUAGAAAUGACAACAGAAUAUAGACAUUCUUAGAUGAAGAAAACUAAAAGAAUUUGUCACCAGCAGACAAAUGCUGCUUUCUUUUCAAAAAAGAAAUGCUAAAGGAAGUUUUUCAGGCUGAAAAGAAGACAGACCAGAGGAAAACUUUAAGAAUAAAGCAAGAGCGACGGAAUUAGGCAGCUGAGAACCAUGUGGGUCACUAAUGAUCUCUUGGGGAAAGCCAGUUCUGAGGAAUAACAGAUUUUUUUGCCUUUUGAAAUAUUCCACUAAGUCUCUAAGCCAAAGCCUUUUGGCCUUCAGAAUAGAGAAUCAUGAGAUCUGGUUAAGCAGAUUUUUGCCCAAUAGAUAUGGCAGGGUUUAGCCAAAGAAUUGAAAGCCCUAAGUAUUAAACUGUCUUUAGAUUUUAUGUAUGUCAGAAGUUCAGAGAGUGAUUGUUUUAUAUUUUAAGUAAUACUUAUAUUUACUUGGAAUAUUACAAUUCAUCAUCUAGGAUAUAUAAAUAAAAAGUAUAUUAAAGUAGAACUGAUUGGAAAUGCUAGUUUCAAAAUAUUAAUAAAUCAGGAUUCUAGUUUCCAUUCACUCUUAGUUUCACGCGUAGAAAUACAUCUUAGGUUUACUAACUUUAAACAUUAGGCAACAAAUUAUUACUUUGCAGAAGUUGGUAGAAGGCUACACUCUGCCUUAGAACCAUCUUGACCAAGCAUCAUGUUUUAAAACCAUCCUUAGGGAAAAUAAAAGCUUGUUAGAGAACUAACAAGCUUUAGGGAAGAGAACUGCAUUUGCGAAGAGAACUGCAUUUUCAACUUCACACUGAAUAUAUUAAUAGAUGCCUUCAACAACAUCAAUUAAAGCCUGCAUAUUUUCUCUCUUUCCAGAUCAGAUAUGUAAAUGCAAGUGACACACAAAUUCUAUUACACGUUAAUAAACCUGUAGUUGCUUAAAACAAAAAAUCUCAUAGGGUUCUCCUCUACCACACGGUAGAAUCCAAACUCUUUGGCAUUUCAGACAAAGCCCCACGUGACCUCCAUGACCUGCCCCCGUGGAUCCCCCCAGCCUUGUCUCCUGCCAUUCAUGGCCUUUCUUUGUUAUUCUCUAAAUUUGGUAAUUUCUAAUUUAAUCAUGAGAAUUUAUUUUAUAAUAUAUUCCCAAACAUCAGACCUCCUGGAAGUAUCUUUCUUCAAUACACAUGCGCUCUCCAUGUUUUUUCACACAACUACCUCUUCUCCCACGCUGUUCCCUUAUGUCUUGAGUGUCCCCUCCUUCUCCUCUUGUCCUGGCUCACUCUGAUUACUUCAGCGUAAAAUGUGACAAUAUUGGCGUCAGAGCAGUUUUGUGUAAAGAAGGUAAUAAGGCACUAAGUAAAAAAACCAUAGCCCACAUCCGGGAUUAAGAAAUGCUUGACAAAUGGUACCUACUGUCAUUUCCUGUGAGGACUAAUCCUCUUAUUCCUUCAUGUUCUCAGGCUAAAAAUACUUCUUGCCACAUAAUCCUCAGAGUGGGAGGGUGAUAAUAAAGGGAUGAAAAAGCAGUUAAAAAGUAAAAUUAAGAUGGGGUGGGGAGGAAAAAGCAACAAGUAGUUUGCCACACUGCUACUGUAGAGCAGGGUACGUCUACGUGCAAAAAACAAAACAACAAAAAACUGUAAAAUGUUCAGUUAAAGAUGUCCCGGCAGGGCUUCCCUGGUGGCGCAGUGGUUGAGAGUCU